rnacentral:tRNA from 1 species
GGGCAUGUAGUGUAGGGGUUAUCGCGCCUCAUUCGCAUUGAGGAGGUCUCCGGUUCAAUUCCGGACUUGUCCA